rnacentral:lncRNA from 1 species
CUGACCUUAUGCUCCCAGCUUGCCUGUUACUGGGCUGUGGUCUGUUUGCCCCUCCUGAACUAGAUGGUGUGAGCACAUCCAGCGCCGUGUGCUGCCUUUUAGAGUCCAGGGUGACCAUCAAGGAAAACGGA